ACCUUCGUGGUGUAGUGAUCAGCACGCUGGGCACAUAAUCCAGAAGUCCGUGGUUCGAGUCCUGGCGAAGGCG
rnacentral:tRNA from 1 species